CUCUGUCUGGGAGAGCGUGCAGAGUUUCAAGGCGUCUGACUGAAAACUUGGGAAUUCUGUAAUCUCACCAUGUCGUUUGAAGGCCACCAUAACAAACAUAUGCAAUAUGGUUUCGGGUGACAUUUCAGGUCCUCCUGUGAACUGAAGGCACCAGAAUGGGAAAUGGUAUCAGACCUGGGAGUAUUCAUAAACUUAAACCUAAGAAAACCUAAAAGAUGAACGUCCACUAGAUGGUGCCGCACCCGUUUUCAUGCUGAUGGAGGACUGUUGGAGCUCCCAUAUGGCAGGACUAAAGAAGGAAUGGAGGUCUUCAAUCUUGCGCAGUUCUACAGUUUGAAAACUGGUGAGAAGUUUGGGCUGUACUGGAAGCCAUAAACCUUCCUUUGUGGCGAUAUAGGUUUGAUAAAGUAAUGUAUCAGUGUUUGUGUGCCAUUUAAUGUAGUAAUUAAUACAAUAAAGAUCCUGUCAUAAUGUUGUA
rnacentral:lncRNA from 1 species